GCUAUACUCCAAUAUAAAAUAAAAAGUAAAAAAAAAAAAAAAAGGGAAUGGCAGGAAUAAAGAUGAAAUUUUCAGGAGUGCCAGCAUUCACCACUAUUUUGUUAGGAGUUUAUGCACAAUUUAUAACCUUUUUCUAGCAUAUUCCACAUCUCUGUGUGAGAAGCCUCACUUAUAACACAGCUCCCCAAUUUUUUCUCCUGGCCAUCACCCUGUGACUUGUUUAAUUGUACAUCAGUAACACUUAUGAGGUACAGUUAUCCCAAGUUUGAAUUUGCAGACCAGGAGGGCUGUCCUUUGGCCAAGCACUCACUCUCUCUCUGGACCUCAGUUAGACUAGCUCAGUAAUUUUCAAACUGGGUUCCUUGGGGACCUCCAGGAGCUAGCAAGUGGGGAGGGGGACCCUGAGCAGCACAGGGACAGAAGCCCUGUCUAACAUGGUGCCUGGUGCAGAAGAGGCCCUUAACAAAUAUUUUUAAAUAUUUUAAGAGAAAUUAGAUGCAGACUCUCCUCCUUUCCCAGCUUCAACCAAAAUAGUUUUAUAAAUUAGACUUCUACAUAAGAUUGUGUUAAAAAAGAUUUCACUGCCAAAAAAAAAAAGUGCUGGAUUGAAUAGACAAUAUCUAAAUUCCCUUCUAGACUGUAUGAUUUUAUAAAAAUGAGCUUUAGGAACAUGGAAUAAAAAUACACAUUCAUCCCUGCCUGGAGUGCCACUAAAAUGACAGCAAAGGAAUAAAGCUGAUAUAAACCUGCAGAAACAAAGGGAACAGGAGAGGAGCUGGGAGCCAGAAUUUGGAGGAGUCUGAGAAUACUGAAGCUGGCCUUCCAGGUCUCUAUGAAUUUAAUUUGUCAGGGUAAGAAGAACAGGGGUCCCCAACCCCCGGGCCGCAGCCUGUUAGGAACGGGGCCGCACAGCAGGAGGUGAGCGGCGGGCAGGCGAGCAAGCGAAGCUUCAUCUGCCGCUCCGCAUCGCUCGCAUUACUGCCUGGACCAUCCCCACC